AGUGAGCGCUGGCGGUAGGCCUAACACAUGCAAGUCGAACGGCAGCACAGUAAGAGCUUGCUCUUACGGGUGGCGAGUGGCGGACGGGUGAGGAAUACAUCGGAAUCUACUUUUUCGUGGGGGAUAACGUAGGGAAACUUACGCUAAUACCGCAUGCGACCUACGGGUGAAAGCAGGGGAUCUUCGGACCUUGCGCGAUUGAAUGAGCCGAUGUCGGAUUAGCUAGUUGGCGGGGUAAAGGCCCACCAAGGCGACGAUCCGUAGCUGGUCUGAGAGGAUGAUCAGCCACACUGGAACUGAGACACGGUCCAGACUCCUACGGGAGGCAGCAGUGGGGAAUAUUGGACAAUGGGCGCAAGCCUGAUCCAGCCAUACCGCGUGGGUGAAGAAGGCCUUCGGGUUGUAAAGCCCUUUUGUUGGGAAAGAAAAGCAGCAGGUUAAUACCCCGCUGUUCUGACGGUACCCAAAGAAUAAGCACCGGCUAACUUCGUG
rnacentral:rRNA from 1 species